GCCUGGGAUAGCUGAGACAGUAGAGCACGAAACUCUUAAUCUCAGGGUCGUGGGUUGAAGCCCCACAUUGGGCA